GACGAACGCUGGCGGCGUGCUUAACACAUGCAAGUCGAACGGAAAGGCCCUGCUUUUGUGGGGUGCUCGAGUGGCGAACGGGUGAGUAACACGUGAGUAACCUGCCCUUGACUUUGGGAUAACUUCAGGAAACUGGGGCUAAUACCGGAUAGGAGCUCCUGCUGCAUGGUGGGGGUUGGAAAGUUUCGGCGGUUGGGGAUGGACUCGCGGCUUAUCAGCUUGUUGGGGGGGUAGUGGCUUACCAAGGCUUUGACGGGUAGCCGGCCUGAGAGGGUGACCGGCCACAUUGGGACUGAGAUACGGCCCAGACUCCUACGGGAGGCAGCAGUGGGGAAUAUUGCACAAUGGGCGGAAGCCUGAUGCAGCAACGCCGCGUGCGGGAUGACGGCCUUCGAGUUGUAAACCGAUUUCGCCUGUGACGAAGCGUGAGUGACGGUAAUGGGUAAAGAAGCACCGGCUAACUACGUG
rnacentral:rRNA from 1 species